rnacentral:rRNA from 1 species
GAUGAACGCUGGCGGCGUGCCUAAUACAUGCAAGUCGAGCGAAUGGAUUAAGAGCUUGCUCUUAUGAAGUUAGCGGCGGACGGGUGAGUAACACGUGGGUAACCUGCCCAUAAGACUGGGAUAACUCCGGGAAACCGGGGCUAAUACCGGAUAACAUUUUGAACCGCAUGGUUCGAAAUUGGAAGGCGGCUUCGGCUGUCACUUAUGGAUGGAACCGCGUCGCAUUAGCUAGUUGGUGAGGUAACGGCUCACCAAGGCAACGAUGCGUAGCCGACCUGAGUGGGUGAUCGGCCACACUGGGACUGAGACACGGCCCAGACUCCUACGGGAGGCAGCAGUAGGGAAUCUUCCGCAAUGGACGAAAGUCUGACGGAGCAACGCCGCGUGAGUGAUGAAGGCUUUCGGGUCGUAAAACUCUGUUGUUAGGGAAGAACAAGUGCUAGUUGAAUAAGCUGGCACCUUGACGGUACCUAACCAGAAAGCCACGGCUAACUACGUGCCAGCCGCCGCGGUAA